rnacentral:rRNA from 1 species
GAUCCUGGCUCAGGAUGAACGCUGGCGGCGUGCCUAACACAUGCAAGUCGAGCGAAGCGUUUUAAAGGAAGUUUUCGGAUGGAAUUUGAAAUGACUGAGCGGCGGACGGGUGAGUAACGCGUGGGUAACCUGCCUCAUACAGGGGGGAUAACAGUUAGAAAUGACUGCUAAUACCGCAUAAGCACACAGUACCGCAUGGUACAGAGUGAAAAACUCCGGUGGUAUGAGAUGGACCCGCGU